rnacentral:rRNA from 1 species
AUUGAACGCUGGCGGCAGGCCUAACACAUGCAAGUCGGGCGAGCGGCGGACGGGUGAGUAAUGUAUGGGGAUCUGCCUGAUGGCGGGGGAUAACUACUGGAAACGGUAGCUAAUACCGCAUACCAUCAGAUGGACCCAUAUGGGAUUAGCUAGUAGGUGAGGUAACGGCUUACCUAGGCGACGAUCCCUAGCUGGUCUGUGAGGAUGAUCAGCGACACUGAGACGGAGACACGGCCCAGAAUCGUGCGGGAGGCAGCAAUGGGGAAUAGUGCACGGUGGAGGGAACUCUGAUGCAGCGAGGCCGGGUGAACAAAGAAGGCUUGCAGGACGUAAAGGUCUUUUAUAUGGGAAUCGGUACCAGAAGAAGAAGCCCCGGCUAACUACGUGCCAGCAGCCGCGGUAAUUC